rnacentral:rRNA from 1 species
AGUCGAACGGCAGCGCGGGGCAACCUGGCGGCGAGUGGCGAACGGGUGAGUAAUAUAUCGGAACGUACCCAAGAGUGGGGGAUAACGUAGCGAAAGUUACGCUAAUACCGCAUACGAUCUAAGGAUGAAAGCAGGGGACCGCAAGGCCUUGUGCUCCUGGAGCGGCCGAUAUCUGAUUAGCUAGUUGGUAGGGUAAAGGCCUACCAAGGCUACGAUCAGUAGCUGGUCUGAGAGGACGACCAGCCACACUGGAACUGAGACACGGUCCAGACUCCUACGGGAGGCAGCAGUGGGGAAUUUUGGACAAUGGGCGCAAGCCUGAUCCAGCAAUGCCGCGUGAGUGAAGAAGGCCUUCGGGUUGUAAAGCUCUUUUGUCAGGGAAGAAACGGUGGGAGCUAAUAUCUCCCACUAAUGACGGUACCUGAAGAAUAAGCACCGGCUAACUACGUGCCAGCAGCCGCGGUAAUACGUAGGGUGCAAGCGUUAAUCGGAAUUACUGGGCGUAAAGCGUGCGCAGGCGGUUUUGUAAGUCUGAUGUGAAAUCCCCGGGCUCAACCUGGGAAUUGCAUUGGAGACUGCAAGGCUAGAAUCUGGCAGAGGGGGGUAGAAUUCCACGUGUAGCAGUGAAAUGCGUAGAGAUGUGGAGGAACACCGAUGGCGAAGGCAGCCCCCUGGGUCAAGAUUGACGCUCAUGCACGAAAGCGUGGGGAGCAAACAGGAUUAGAUACCCUGGUAGUCCACGCCCUAAACGAUGUCUACUAGUUGUCGGGUUUUAAUUAACUUGGUAACGCAGCUAACGCGUGAAGUAGACCGCCUGGGGAGUACGGUCGCAAGAUUAAAACUCAAAGGAAUUGACGGGGACCCGCACAAGCGGUGGAUGAUGUGGAUUAAUUCGAUGCAACGCGAAAAACCUUACCUACCCUUGACAUGGAUGGAAUCCCGGAGAGAU